CCUACGGGGGGCAGCAGUGAGGAAUCUUGCCCAAUGGGGGAAACCCUGAGGCAGCGACGCCGCGUGGGUGAUGAAGGCCUUCGGGUCGUAAAACCCUUUUCCAGGUGACGAGUAAGGACGGUAGCCUGGGAAGAAGUCUCGGCUAACUACGUGCCAGCAGCCGCGGUAAAACGUAGGAGGCAAGCGUUAUCCGGAGUUACUGGGCGUAAAGCGCAUGCAGGCGGCUUGGCAAGUGGCGUGUGAAAGCACCCGGCUCAACUGGGUGAGGACACGUCAGACUGCGAGGCUUGAGGGGGAUAGAGGGGCGCAGAAUUCCGGGUGUAGCGGUGAAAUGUGUAGAGAUCCGGAGGAAUACCAGUGGGGAAGCCGGCGCCCUGGGUCCCAACUGACGCUGAGAUGCGAAAGCGUGGGGAGCGAACGGGAUUAGAUACCCUAGUAGU
rnacentral:rRNA from 1 species